rnacentral:sRNA from 1 species
UGACCUGCUACAGCGACUGGGUGGCGGCACGUAUGGGGAAGUCUUUAAGGCUCGAGACAAGGUGUCAGGGGACCUGGUGGCACUGAAGAUGGUGAAGAUGGAGCCUGAUGAUGAUGUCUCCACCCUUCAGAAGGAAAUCCUCAUAUUGAAAACUUGCCGGCACGCCAACAUCGUGGCCUACCAUGGGAGUUAUCUCUGGUUGCAGAAACUCUGGAUCUGCAUGGAAUUCUGUGGGGCUGGUUCUCUCCAGGACAUCUACCAAGUGACAGGCUCCCUGUCAGAGCUCCAGAUUAGCUAUGUCUGCCGGGAAGUGCUCCAGGGACUGGCCUAUCUGCACUCACAGAAGAAGAUACACAGGGACAUCAAGGUGGUCUGGGGGUGCAGGGGUGCUGUUGGGGGGUGGGGCCCAGGAGAUGGGAGUGGCAUUUCGGGGGCUCAGGGAUCAGGGUAGUUUGAGCUGUGGGGUGGAGUGGGGUAGCACUGGGCUGGGGAGAGUCUCUGCAGCCUCCCAUACCCCCUCUCAUUCCCAGGGAGCUAACAUCCUCAUCA